rnacentral:misc_RNA from 1 species
AACCUAGCACACCUGCGGUGUGUACCUGCGGAAGGAUCAUUACACAAAUUAAAAUAUGAAGGCUUCGGCUGGAUUAUUUUUAUCACCCUUGUCUUUUGCGCACUUGUUGUUUCCUGGGCGGGUUCGCCCGCCACCAGGACCACACCAUAAACCUUUUUUAUGCAGUUGCAAUCAGCGUCAGUAUAACAAAUGUAAAUCAUUUACAACUUUCAACAAUGGAUCUCAGAUCGGAAGAGCACA